rnacentral:sRNA from 1 species
GAAAAAAAAAAAAAAACUGAACCAUGCCUAGACUGCUCUACUCGACCACACUGUCAUGAUCUGAUACCAUUCCCUAUCAAUUUGAACCUGAAUCUGAUCUUUAAUUAUCAUGUCUGCAUCAAAUUUGAACUCAUGGAUACCCUAAAAUACUUGGAUUUUCUUAUUCAUUUUGAUCACUCUUGUUAAUCCAAGUAGCUGACUCUCCUUAUUAGAGCAGUUAACCCAAACCCAAACCUAGACUUUCUUUCAAGCCCUAUAUCACUUGUGAGUGUUUGUGAGGUCUUAUUCCGAUUAAGCUUGGUAGAAAGUGUUAGGUUCGUAACGACAGAGAUAGUGACUCAUGUAGUUCUAGUACGCAUUUUUCGGACUAGAUAGGACUAGGUAGGCGCUUAUACUUUGGGUUGGGAUGUGUUUAAAAGAAAAAAAGGGGUUGAUUCAUUGAUAAGAAAAGGUAAAAGACUCUAGGUGAAGUAAGCUAAAGAAGCAGAAAAAGUCUAGUAAAGGUUUUGGGAUUUGAAAAGAAAAGAAAGAGUUCUUGUUAGCUAUUGAAGAUGGGCAAAAGCCCUUGGUUUUAAAAUGUUAAAAACAGGAACCUUAGUUGUUAAAGAAAUCCAAAUCCGCUAGAUGUAUCAAAGUGUUGAGAAACCUUCUCCUAGAGUUAAGAGAAAAGAAAAGAACGAUUAGAAAAAGGGCUUAAAAGAUUCAUGAAUGCAAAGGGUAGAGUUUAGUUCUUGUAUUGGGAUUGGAGAUGGGAUUACCAUUAGAUCUUCAUUUGAUGUACUCUGGGUAGAUGGGAUCUUAUCUCUGUAUGCAUAGCUUGGGACUUACCUUUAGCAUUCUACUAGAGCUUAAUCAUUUUUUGAGAGAUCCCCUGUUACUGAAGCCUAUUCUGUAAGGGACCAUCUUUGUCUCUUGACCUUUUACCUUAGCCAAAUGAGUUCUUUGAUGAUGCAUUGCUUGAUUCACGUUCCAGAACUAAUGAAUGUUAAAGGGAUUGGUAGAUUUAAAAACUUGUGUAGGUCGAGCAUAUGAGUCGGAUUGAUUGAUUGAUGAGGCAUGGCUAACGUUUUUAAGUAGAAUUCGAUCUUCCAGCUUAGAACUUUCAACUUGGACAUUGAUUUCAUCUGGUCUAUCUGGUGCUUUGGCUCUGAGUCCCCGCUUUCAAACCUCACUUCCAGCUUGUUCUUGAUCGUUUGCUUGAGGGCAAGCAAAGACUAAGUUUGGGGGAGUUGAUAAGUGUGUAUUUUGCAUGUUUUGAGCAUCCAUUUGUCAUCAUUUUAGCAUCAUAUCAUCACUGUUUUAUACCAUUUCACAUCAUUUGUCAUCACUUUGCAUGUUUAGGAUAGUUUUGCAUGCAUGUUGCAUAUUUGCGUUGAUUUCAAGUGAUUUGAAGCUGUUGACGAGCUAUCUGGAAGAAGCGGACCUGAUCAUGACAAACCACUUGACCAAGAGGUCGAGUAGGAGCUUCAAGAUCUCAAGAGACCACUCGACCCCCAGGUCGAGCAGAGGACAUCACCACUUCACUUCACCACUCGACCACGAGGUCGAGUGCCCUCAUCUCCAUCACCAGACCAUCACUCGAUCACAUCACUCGACCAUGAGGUCGAGUGUCUUCACCUCCAUCAUCAGACCACCACUCGACCUCCUCACUCAACUUGGAAGUCGAGUAUCUUCUGACACCACUCGAUCACAUCACUCGACCCCCAGGCCGAGUGACUUCAUCCCAUUGCUAGAUCUCUACUCGACCUCAUCACUCUACCUGGAUGUCGAGUAUCACCAUCACUCGACUGCAUACUCGUGACAAGCUUUAGAGCCUUCUUCAUUCCGCACUCAACCAGACACUCGAGCACAAGGAAGAAAAAAAGACUCCAGCUAUUCACUCGACCUCUCACUCGACCACGUGGGUCGAGUACAGUUCUUAACCCGUCCCAAUACUUCGUCGUUUUGAGUAUUAGGGUUUCGGGAUAUUUGGCUAUAAGUAGCAUGUACUUCUCAUUUUCGCAGAGAGGAAGUUUUUAUCUAGUUUUAUUUCCGCAGACCUUGUGUGCUAGACUUUUUGUAAUCCGGAUUUCUCUUUAUCUAUUCAGUAUUCAGUAUUCAGUUUCUGUUCUUGAUUUCGUUUACUGUUGUUCAUUCUGUUAUCAUCCUGCUGUUACACUGUUGUUAUCAUGUUUUCAACUUGUUCAACGUUUAUGCUUUCUGUUAUGAUGUCUGAGUAGUGAAUAGGUUUCUGAGGAUGGGUUAGAGUAGUGUAGAAUUCUCAGUAUGCUAGGUGAUUGAGUAUUGGUUGAUAGAUCCCUUCUGGAUUAGUUGUUCUUAAUGCCUAUUGCUUUCUGAUUAACUGGAAUUUGAGCCCAGACAUUUCCGCGCCCAAAAGGUGUUCGAUGAAAUGUCUGAACCACUAAUUCCAGAGAUUCGUGACCCUGUACCAAGGUAUUAGUUGCAGGGAGCGUUUUGGCUUUAACUUAUUGAUUCGUAAUGCUUGUUAGGUUAGCUCUCGUCAAUGGUGAUUGAGUCUGGGACUAGGUUAAUUUGAGAGUCUCUGUUGCGGUGGCACUUAGAUUUGGUUAAUGAACUUGUUGUGUAGGGUUAAUUUAUUGAGCAUGUCAAUCACCUGUAAACUGAGGAAACGAAACUACUCAAUUACCCCAUCCUUAGGAAUUCUUUAUCGAUUGAUUUUAUUGUUUACUCUACUGUUGAUUACUGCAUCUGGUCAUUUGUUCCUUAGUUUCUGCAUUUCUUUCCUGUUAGUCGACCUGAUACUCGACCACCCAGUUAUCGAGUAUCCCUGUUUCACUUUCUGCCUGUUACUCGACCUGUCACUCGACCUCAUCCAGUGCUCUACACAGAGCUGUGUUGGUCGAGUGUUUUGCUGUUUCUGUUUGAUUUUCUGUUUUCUGCAUGUUCACUUAGAACUGCUAGAACACACCAAAACCUGUUAUUGCUUGGCUUGACUUAGUGACUUCUGAUCACAUCUUGAUUGUUAGCAUCACACCCAUUUGGAUUGACAACCUAAAAUACUACAACGAUAUGAUUGGUGUUUUAGGAUAAUUGACUAAAAACCUAUUAUCAAUAAGCGCACGAUUGCAACCCUUGGACCUUUAGGUAGCAACCCUCUAAGAGCAAUAGGCAGA